AAACCUGUUUUAAAUAUGGUUUAUUUUAUCUGCUGAGAAAAAGGACGUUUGGAGCAUGAGAACAGACAGUUGGCUCUUAAUAAAGUUCCAGGCAAGCCCCUUUUAUUCACUCUCCAGGCGCCAAUAUUUACUCACAAUUGAUGUUUGGCAAUCAGCAGCACACAGACAGACGUGCAGCACUGAGGCUUCAACAAGCAGGUAAUGUGUUUGGUUGUGGCUGUUAGA